UUAAUUUGUUAAGCUGAUCAUUUAAAUCUGGUAUUGAAUCAGUAUCAGAAUUAUCUGAUUGAUAACUGCUUUCAACAUCAGUUUUAACUUGAUCAAUCGCGGCAAUAGUACCACUUGUACCAGGUUCAUUUUUAAGUUUUUUGAAUAACUUAUCAAUGGAUUUAACUAAAUUAUCAUCAUCAGAUGGUAAUCCUAACUUGUGUCUAUUUUCUGGUAACUUUAUUAAAGGAUGUUCAAUUUUUAAAUC
rnacentral:lncRNA from 1 species